rnacentral:rRNA from 1 species
AGAGUUUGAUCAUGGCUCAGAUUGAACGCUGGCGGCAGGCCUAACACAUGCAAGUCGAACGGUAGCACAGAGAGCUUGCUCUCGGGUGACGAGUGGCGGACGGGUGAGUAAUGUCUGGGAAACUGCCUGAUGGAGGGGGAUAACUACUGGAAACGGUAGCUAAUACCGCAUAACGUCGCAAGACCAAAGAGGGGGACCUUCGGGCCUCUUGCCAUCAGAUGUGCCCAGAUGGGAUUAGCUAGUAGGUGGGGUAACGGCUCACCUAGGCGACGAUCCCUAGCUGGUCUGAGAGGAUGACCAGCCACACUGGAACUGAGACACGGUCCAGACUCCUACGGGAGGCAGCAGUGGGGAAUAUUGCACAAUGGGCGCAAACCUGAUGCAGCCAUGCCGCGGGUAUGAAGAAGGCCUUCGGGUUGUAGGNUACUUUCAGCGGGGAGAGAAGGGGGUUGUCGGUUAAUAACCGCACCAAUUGACGUUACCCGCAUAAGAAGCACCGAGCUAGCUCCGUGCCAGCAGCCGCGGUAAAUACAGAAGGGUGCGAGCCGUUAAUCUGGAAUUACUUGGGCGUAAAGCCGCACGCAAGGCGGACUGUCCAGGGCCGGAUAGUCAACUCCGCGGGGCUCUACCCUGGGAACUGCA